rnacentral:rRNA from 1 species
AGUGAACGCUGGCGGUAGGCCUAACACAUGCAAGUCGAACGGCAGCACAGUAAGAGCUUGCUCUUCCGGGUGGCGAGUGGCGGACGGGUGAGGAAUACAUCGGAAUCUACUUUUUCGUGGGGGAUAACGUAGGGAAACUUACGCUAAUACCGCAUACGACCUACGGGUGAAAGCAGGGGAUCUUCGGACCUUGCGCGAUUGAAUGAGCCGAUGUCGGAUUAGCUAGUUGGCGGGGUAAAGGCCCACCAAGGCGCCGAUCCGUAGCUGGUCUGAGAGGAUGAUCGGCCGCACGGGAACUUGGACGCGGACCAGACUCCUGCGGGAGGCAGCAGUGGGGAAUAUUGGGCAAUGGGCGCAAGCCUUAUCCAGCCAUACCGCGUGGGUGAAGAAGGCCUUCGGGUUGUAAAGCCCGUUUGUUGGGAAAGAAAAGCAGCAGGUUAAUACCCCGCUGUUCUGACGGUACCCAAAGAAUAAGCACCGGCUAACUUCGUG